CAGAGGUCUCAAGCGUUGUUCGGAUUCAUUGGGCGUAAAGGGUGCGUAGGUGGCGCGCUAAGUCGGGUGUGAAAUUUCGGAGCUUAACUCCGAAACUGCAUUCGAUACUGGCGUGCUCGAGGACUGGAGAGGAGACUGGAAUUCAUGGUGUAGCAGUGAAAUGCGUAGAGAUCAUGAGGAAGACCAGUGGCGAAGGCGGGUCUCUGGACAGUUCCUGACACUGAGGCACGAAGGCCAGGGGAGCAAACGGGAUUAGAUACCCCGGUAGUCCUGGCAGUAAACGGUGCACGUUUGGUGUGGGAGGAUUCGACCCUUCUGCGCCGGAGCUAACGCGUUAAACGUGCCGCCUGGGGAGUACGGUCGCAAGAUUA
rnacentral:rRNA from 1 species